AUUGACUAGUAGAUUGCUAAAGAUAAGGAAGGAAGGAUUCUUUACUUUUCUGGUACAUUAUUAUCGAAAUUAGUGGUUUAAGUUCAUUCACCCCAAAAAGAAAAUAUUUCUUGCUAACAAUAUUUUUAUAAGGUUUACUGGUUAGCAACCCAGUGUGUGAUUCCUCAGUUCAACAACUCUCAGCAACAUGCACAAUCCUCCCCCGCCAGGCGGUCCAGGCCCUCACCACCACCCCGGCCCACCGGCUCCGCCACUACAUGCUCAUCCAUCUCCUCCGCCUCCUGGGCCUCCACACCACCACCACGGCCCACCCGGCCCACCGCAUGCUUAUCCAACUCCUCCGCCUCCUGGGCCUCCACACCACCAUCCCGGCCCACCCGAACCAGGCUUUCAUCAACACCAUGGCCCACCCGGGCCACCGUAUGCUCAUCCAACUCCUCCGCCUCCUGGGCCACCGGGACCUCCCCCUCCAGGGCCUCCACACCACCAACACCACCGUUGCUGAUGUAAUGCAUAUGGAGCUUAUGAAUAACGAUCCUACAUAUAUAUGAUGUAAUGUUGAAUGCUUUUUAAUUUCUGAACACUUUAUAUAGCAAGGGCAAAAUUUGGUUGUGUCACUAAAUAAAAGCUUUGUAGUUCGUAGUUCCACUACUAUAGUACUACCUAUAUUUACCGUGUAUCACCGUCUGGUGCCCCUUGUGCUUUUUCUGGUGUGUAUCUUAUUAGAAUAAGAAAUAAAGGGAGGUCAUUUCUAUGUAUGUUGCACUGAUUAAAUCUAUUAUAAAGACAUUUUAAUGGUCAAAAAUUAUUUUUUUAACUUAAAGAUACAAAAUUGAAACG
rnacentral:lncRNA from 1 species